rnacentral:ribozyme from 1 species
UGGUCAGCAAGUGCUAUCCCUACCUCCUCGUGGUACCAGCUGGGCUGCGCGCAACCUUAGGGAAGAUCGGGUAACCAACCCCGGUGAGAUCUUUGAUCAUAGGCUAACAGGGAAGG